GCUCAGGAUGAACGCUGGCGGCGUGCUUAACACAUGCAAGUCGAACGGGAAAUACUUUAUUGAAACUUCGGUCGAUUUAAUUUAUUUCUAGUGGCGGACGGGUGAGUAACGCGUGGGUAACCUGCCUUAUACCGGGGGAUAACAGCCAGAAAUGGCUGCUAAUACCGCAUAAGCGCACAGAACCGCAUGGUUCCGUGUGAAAAACUCCGGUGGUAUAAGAUGGACCCGCGUUGGAUUAGCUAGUUGGCAGGGCAGCGGCCUACCAAGGCGACGAUCCAUAGCCGGCCUGAGAGGGUGAACGGCCACAUUGGGACUGAGACACGGCCCAGACUCCUACGGGAGGCAGCAGUA
rnacentral:rRNA from 1 species